rnacentral:rRNA from 1 species
AGCAGCCGCGGUAAUUCCAGCUCCAAUAGCGUAUAUUAAAGUUGCUGCAGUUAAAAAGCUCGUAGUUGAAUUUCGGGACCAAUAUGUCGGUCGUGCCUCGGUACGUACUGGCAUCGUUGGUUUCUCCCUUCUGACGAACCAUGAUGUCAUUUAUUUGGUGUCGUGGGGAGUCAGGACUGUUACUUUGAAAAAUUAGAGUGUUUAAAGCAGGCUCACGCUUGAAUACAUUAGCAUGGAAUAAUGAAAUAGGACGUUUGAUUCUAUUUUGUUGGUUUCUAGGAUCGACGUAAUGAUUAAUAGGGAUAGUUGGGGGCAGUUAGUAUUCAAUUGUCAGAGGUGAAAUUCUUGGAUUUAUUGAAGACUAACUACUGCGAAAGCAUUUGCCAAGGAUGUUUUCAUUAAUCAAGAACGAAAGUUAGGGGAUCGAAGACGAUCAGAUACCGUCGUAGUCUUAACCAUAAACUAUGCCGACUAGGGAUCGGGAUGGAUUGUUUAAUUUUUAAUGUACUCA